UAAAGUGAUAUGCUAAUCACGAUGACAUAAUCUGUUACUGUUUUGUUAUUAUGUUUUAAUAAAGAUAAGGCUGGGUGUAAUGACGAUGUCGUGGCCAUGAUUUAAAGUGACUACUUUGUGUUUUUAAAUAUUUGUUUAUAUCGCGGAAUGUAAAUAUAUCCACGUAACAUAGUGCUACAAGUUACUGACGUUUUAAUAGAGAAACAUGCAUGAAUGACAGAAUAAAUAGCGGGACAUGUAUGAUGUUAAUAUGACUUAAGUACAGAAGGUCGCCUUUUGCUGAUCUUAUUUUUAAUAACAGAAUGAAAUAGUAAAAAUAACUAACGUUAUAUUGUUAUUUUAUUGUAAAAUAAAAUGUCUCACUGUGGAACAUGAAAAACUGGCAUACACUUGUUCAACAGAGAGGACAUGAAACCACCAUUCUUGGACUCUGAAGAAUACUAUGCAAACCAUGCUUUUGGAUCUACUGUUAAGUUUUUGUAAUAAAGCUGAGGUUUUGGGAUUGAAAAUCUUCUGCCACAUGAUCUUCCAUAAAACGGCUAAUGAACUGGAAGUCUCGCCCAUAGGCUUACUUCCGUGUUUAGGAAUAAGAUGCAGCAAGGAUCCAGCUGAUUACUUCAGAUUUUAUGGACUGCUCUUUAUCUGCUGUGACUGUCACUUCUGGUGCAGAAUCAUGGACCUUUAUUUGUAUGUUUUGAUUUUACUUAUUAUUAUACUUGUGUAGCUAGUAUUCAGGAUUAAAAUACAAUGUAAUUUUUGUCCACAUAUAUUAUCAGAGCUAUAUGCAAUCCAAUAGGGUCAGUCAAAUAUUGAGAAAAACACUAUAAACCUGAUUGGGAAAAUACAAGCUAAAAUACAGUUCCCUCCACAAUCUUUUUCAAAGAAAAAAUCAUGAUACUAUAAACCUAACUUGUAAGAUAAAAAUUUAAUUUUUAGUUUUUCAAUUGCUCCUCAAGAAUUCCUCCUCAGGAAUUUGUUUACAUAAAUUUACAUCUAAAUAAUGAAACAGUUUUAAGCAUGGAAUACAUUGCACGACUUCUGAACAGAUUUUUAAAACAGAUUUUUGACUUACCUUUUUUGUAAAUAAUGACAAAGGAAAGCUGGGCAUCAUAUACUUAAGCCUGGAAUACACUACACAAUUUUUGCCCUGAUUUUCCGCCAAUUUACAGUCAGGAGAAGUUGACCCUAGUUGCCGAAAGUCAGAGCCAGUCUGCAGAUUUGAGAUGACAGAUUCCAUAGAAAAUUGCAUAGUGUAUGAUAGUCACAGACUCUGGUUUUUUAAGCUUCAGACUCUGAUUCUAUCCUGUCAGACGAUAUCAAACGUUUGAUAUUUUCAGCCGAUUUUACAAUGCAUAUUGUUUUCAUUUGUCAUGCGUCUCCUAGCAACAAGUGAGUUUGUUGUGAUCGGAACAACUUUAAAGUCUGGUAGUGUAUGAUCCUCGGUCAUGUAGUGAUUGAUGCCCAGUUUUCCUUUGUCGCUACUUACAAUGUCAGUAUAUGUAUGAUGCCUAGUGUUUUAAAAAUCUGUUCAGAUUUUAAAAGUCAUGUAGUGUAUUCCAGCCUUUAGAAUUAACAGUCAUUUGAAACAGUGGCAAUCUUGUAGAUGUUUUGUAUUUCUACUUUUGAGAAUAUUUAAUUCAACUUCUGAUCAAACUGUUCUGUUAAUUGGUACAGUAUUGUAAAUGUUGAAAUGUAUUUCCUUUCAAAUUUGUACUUUUUUUCUUCAAAAACUGAAUGAUUACAUUUUCAGUUUUGUACAGUAUAUGUACAGACUUUGUAUUUUGUCUUUGAAAAUAAAACUUUUAAUUUACAAUCUUGA